UACGGAGGGAGCUAGCGUUAUUCGGAAUUACUGGGCGUAAAGCGCACGUAGGCGGCUUUGCAAGUUAGAGGUGAAAGCCCGGGGCUUAACUCCGGAAUUGCCUUUAAAACUGCAUCGCUAGAAUUGUGGAGAGGUAAGUGGAAUUCCGAGUGUAGAGGUGAAAUUCGUAGAUAUUCGGAAGAACACCAGUGGCGAAGGCGACUUACUGGACACAUAUUGACGCUGAGGUGCGAAAGCGUGGGGAGCAAACAGG
rnacentral:rRNA from 1 species